GUAGGUGAACCUGCGGAAGGAUCAUUACUAGAGCAAAGGAUAGACAGCGCCCGCGGAGCUCGCUCCCGGGGCUACCCUACUCCCGUAGGGUUUAGAGUCGUCGGGCCUCUCGGAGAAGCUCGGUCCUGAACUCCACCCUUGAAUAAACUACCUUUGUUGCUUUGGCAGGCCGCCCUCGGGCACCGGCUUCGGCUGGGUUGCGCCU
rnacentral:misc_RNA from 1 species